UGUUUGCUCUGGUUAAUAAUCUCAGGAGCACAAACAUUCCUGGAGGCAGGAGAAGAAAUCAACAUCCUGGACUUAUCCUCUGGGCCUCUCCCCACCCCCAGGAGAGGCUGUGCAACUGAAUGAACAGCCCUGUCCAAGAGAGGCUAGGACUGGGGCUUCUCCACCCCUGCGCGUCUCAGGCUUCCCAUCUGGACCAUGGGGUUGAUAACUGUAGUCACGCAGGCCCAACAUGAAGGCCUGCCUCCUCCAAUGGCAGACACCCCUGAGCCACCACACAGAUACGGAAAGUGGUCUUUAGCGAGGGAAAGCCACCUCCAAUAUCAUGCAGAACAAGGAGAAGUUGGGGGCUACCACCUCCUCAUUACCAUCAUUAACUAAAACAUCAAAGAUUGAGAAACUUUGUGAACACAAGGAACACGAAGAUAACUGUCCCAGAAAGCUAAACCAAGACAGUAACUGUGCUUAAACUUACAUCAUGGCUUUGAGCUUCCUAGCAGCCAAAGCAAGAAGGGAAUAUAAUCACUGGCCAAGGUUAGGGUGACGGAGCAAAGGAAACACAUUUAUGAAUAGAAGCACACUUGUUCUGGAUACCAGUGAAAGAGGGAUGUACUGACUGAAUCUUACAGAAGGGACAUGAUACACCAUUUGUUUCUGCACUGACUACAUGGGGGAAUCCUUUGAUUCUCACAUAAGCAGGGGUCUUAAUCUUGGGACUGCCUGCCCGAAGGGGUCAUUCCCAGCUCUAACAGAGAGGUGGCUGAGAGUAUGGAAUGUUCCAUGCCAAGAGCAGGGAGGAAGUAAGGACAGUAGAUUUAACCACUGGAGAAGGGAAAUUCAUAGAGAGGCCUUUGGUAUUGCUGGCAAGAGUGUGAGCUCACAGACAACGGACCUGGGUUUUAAAAAAUUCUCAUUUAAAAUCUUAAAUUUAGGCUGAGCGCAGU